rnacentral:rRNA from 1 species
UACGUAGGGUGCAAGCGUUGCCCGGAUUUAUUGGGCGUAAAGGGCGUGUAGGCGGACCGGCGCGUCCCGUGUGAAAGCCCCCGGCUCAACUGGGGAGGGUCACCGGUAACGGCCGAGCUACGAGUGCAGGAGAGGGAAGUGGAACUCCGGGAGUAGCGGUGAAAUGCGUAGAGACCCGGAGGAACACCAGUGGCGAAGGCGGCUUCCUGGUCUGCAACUGACGCUGUGGCGCGAAAGCUAGGGGAGCAAACGGG